rnacentral:misc_RNA from 1 species
GACAGUUCUGUGAGGAGAUCAUAUCUUGUUCCAACUCCUAAACUACGUCCCGCAAAAUCCAAUGUCUCUCUGACUGUCAUCUCUCCAUGAUGAAGGUCAUGCUGACUGAUAUAAGCACAAGUCCUCUGAGGAAUAAAAUCUGAGAGCUCAUGACCACAAUAACUGAUUUUCCCAGCGACUCUCAGAUCCUUAUCUGGCACUCCAGCAAGUGAUUUUAGCAAUG